AUUGAACGCUGGCGGAAUGCUUUACACAUGCAAGUCGAACGGCAGCACGAGGGCAACCUUGGUGGCGAGUGGCGAACGGGUGAGUAAUACAUCGGAACGUGCCCAGUCGUGGGGGAUAACGUAGCGAAAGCUACGCUAAUACCGCAUACGGUCUAUGGAUGAAAGCGGGGGACCGUAAGGCCUCGCGCGAUUGGAGCGGCCGAUGGCAGAUUAGGUAGUUGGUGGGGUAAAGGCUCACCAAGCCUGCGAUCUGUAGCUGGUCUGAGAGGACGACCAGCCACACUGGAACUGAGACACGGUCCAGACUCCUACGGGAGGCAGCAGUGGGGAAUUUUGGACAAUGGGCGCAAGCCUGAUCCAGCCAUUCCGCGUGCAGGAUGAAGGCC
rnacentral:rRNA from 1 species